CCGGCGAUUAAGCACUUACCAUGUGCCUCUCCUGCUUCAGGGCACCACGCCAGCCUAUAAGCAGCCGCAGGGGUUGAGCCCUGCAGAGCCCCAGAGGCAGAGCUGCCCAAGGCUUUGGGAGCCCACCUCUUGCAUCACUGUGCCCUGGAUGUGAGACGUGGAAUCAAGGAGAUUAUUUUGGAGCUUUAAGACGUAAUGGCACCCUGCUGGGUUUCAGACUUGAGUGGAGCCUGCAGCCUUUCUUUCGGCCGGUUUCUCCCUUUUGGAACGGGAGUAUUUACCCAAUGCCUGUACCCCCAUGGCCACUUCCAGCAUCGAUGGUGUCAGGUCAGGUCCUCUGGGUAGAAGAAAUGGAGUCAGUUAGGAGUGCUGGAGACUGAGUAAGAGGUGGCAGCUGAGGCUUACUACCCCAGGAAAGGGAUGCCACCAGAGAAGGCAGACAACCAAGAUGGCGACUCUCAAUUUUUGAGCUCCUAAUUUUCUCAUGUCAGACAUAAGAAAAAAAAAUAUUUUUUAAAGAAAAAGCUUUAGGUUGCAAAAAUCUAGGCCUUUCAACUUUAAAAUCCUAUUCUUGCAAGCCUUGGAGAAUAAAGCUUAUGCAUAAACAGUAGAUUUGGAAACAGAAAUAUGCCUAAUUACCCAGAGCCAUUCUUUCAAUACGCCAGUGAUUGUUUAAAGAUUCUAUAGGCUGGAGUCAAUGGCAGGAGGCGGGUGGGAAAAGAGUCAAGAGGGAGGAGAGAAGAAGCAAGAGGGUUGGGUAGAUAUUGUCACAUGACCCUGAGAGGAGGAUUCUGGGUCAAACCCCUAGGGGGUUGUGUGUAAUGGAGACUCCAGAUCCAUUUGGGAAUCUGGCUCCAAAGAAGACUUCACCUUGCCUUCUGAGUGGAGCCCUGAAGUGGCAAGACUCAUAGAAUUCCCCCACGGGUCCACACAAGAGAGAAUGAAUAGAGAAGGCUGCGUGCUGGCUGGACCAAGGCAGCCUCGGGUGACACCACCACCACCACCGCCGCUGCCGCCAUCGCCAUCACCACUGCCGCUGCCAUCACCGCCACCACCACCACCAUCACCACCACCAUCACCACAUUAUGGACAAUAGCCCAAUGUUUCCUGAGUUCCCUAGAGGGUUGAAAGAGAAUAGGACCUAGAGAGAUCACAUAGUUGGGACAGGCACUCAUUAAUUUGAUCCAAUGACAAGAGACCAGAUGGGAAGAAGGAUGCCUUGAGAGAUGUCAGUGUGCACCCAUGGAUAGAAGCAGCUGGUGACUGGGUACUUGGGAAGCCACAUGGACACACACAAAGCUCCUGGAAGACGUUUUCAAGGAGUUGGGCUGUGCUGGGAUCCAGAACUGGCUGAAGAAACCAUGAGCUGACAUAAAAUUUCUGCCACCUAGCAGAAUGGAGGCUCCAUUUGGAAAUUAAAUUAUAUACUUAAAAAAACUAUAAUUGCUUCAUUUCUUUUUUUUGAGAUGGAGUUUCACUCUUGUUGCCCAGGCUGUAGUGCAAUGGCACCAUCUCAGCUCACUGCAAACUCCGCUCCCGGGUUCAAGAGGUGAUCCUGCCUCAGCCUCCCGAGUAGCUAGGAUUACAGGUGUGCGGCCACCAUGCCCCGCUAAUUUUGUAUUUUCAGUAGAGACGGGGUUUUACCAUGUUGGUCAAGCUGGUCUCAAACUCCUGACCUCAAAUGAUCCACCCACUUUGGCCUCCCAAAGUGCCAGGAUUACAGGCAUGAGCCACUGCGUGAAGCCAAAUGCUUCAUUUCUUUUUUUCUUUUUUUUUGUUGAGAGGGAGUCUCACUCUGCCGCCCAGGCUGGAGUGCAGUGCCGCAAUCUCGGCUCACUGCAAGCUCCCGCGUUCACGCCAUUCUCCUGCCUCAGCCUCCCGAGUAGCUGGGACUACGGGCGCCCGCCACCACGCCUAGCUAAUUUUGUUUUGUACUUUUAGUAGAGCCGGGGUUUCACCGUGUUAGCCAGGACGGUCUCGAUCUCCUGACCUCGUGAUCCGCCCGCCUGGGCCUCCCAAAGUGCUGGGAUUACAGGCGUGAGCCACCGCGCCCGGCCUGCUUCAUUCCUUAUACAUCUGAGUUGGCCAUCUGAGAUUUUGUUUCUACUACACAGCACUACGGCAAGGAUUACGCGAAACCACCUAGUCCCUAGUAUGGUUCCUGCCAUGUAAUCAGGACACAGCAGAUCGCAGCUGGGUAUUUUCCAUUUUCCUCCGGAUCUGCUCUGCACCCUUCUCCACUGGCCCUCAGCUGUGGGAAGCUGACCUCAUGGACUGCAGGCCUAGAGGUAAGCAGCCCUGGACUGUUGCAGCUACUCAAGAAGGUGUGGCCUUUGCUUCCUGGCACUCAGAUGGCAGCUGACCUCUAG
rnacentral:lncRNA from 1 species